CUCUGAAAUUCCAUGGUGAGAGAACAACACAGAGAACAACACAGUUUUUUCCACAGAGGCAGGAUGAAGUCACCAUCCAAAGAAGAGCUCAAUCUUCAAGACUAAAACAGACUGGAAGGGGAUGUAUAUCCAAGUUUUUUGAAUCACAGUUAUACAUCUUUGAACCUCUCUUUGCUGUAACGACCUUCUGGUGCUCAUUAGCAUGCUGAUUACCAUUAACACAGCUAUAAUGCAGCAAUUUUCUUGGUGUAUGUCGCGGAGAAAUGCUCAUCUGAAUGCAGUCAGGGGACAAAAUUAACUGCAUAAAUCUACAGCACAAACUGGAUCUCGUCCAACUUUGCACAAGUCUUCUCUCCUAGUCGUGACAUCAUCAUCCAGAUUCUCACUGACGGCUUAAUAAGUAUCUCAGGGUUUCAUAUUUAAUUUCCUUUCAUCGCCAUAUAUUACAUUUCAACUUAAUUUCAUCCUGACCACCUUAUUACGUCUCAUAAUAUAUAUUUACCUUUAAUC